AAAAACCAAGAAAAAAAGAGGAAGCAGAUAUGUGAAAAAAAAAAAAAAAAAAGAAAAAUUGGUGGAAGCAGAUUGGUGAAAAAAAAGAAAAAAAAUAGAGAGCAAAAUCAAAGAAAGAGACGGGGAGCUUCGUGGUGGAGUAGUGGGAGGGGAAGAUGGCGAUUUGGUGAGGCUUUGACUUAAAGCACUUCUGGAAGACAAAUCAAGACCGGAAAAUGAGAAUGAAAACUUGACUAGGGAAAAACAGCUACCAGAAUCAGCUAGUGGAGUACCCUCGCUUAACAGAUCCGAAAUCCAAUGAAAAUAAGAGUGUGUAUGUUGAACGCUGCAAAGGAACUAGAUGGAUCAUGUCAGCUUGCUAUCCAAUUUUUUUCUUAUUCAUGAAAUUAAGAGGUACAAGGACUAUUGGAGUGAUCAGCAAAGUAUAUCAAUCAUCAGUAUGAAUCUAACUGGAAAAAGUCUAGUAAUCAAGAUAACAAGUAUAGUUCUGUCUAAGACUGUCCCUGAAAGACCAUAGUGCCGUUGUUUUGAAGGCUGAAAGUGCUACUGACAAAGCAGAAUGGAUAAAUACAGUAAGAAAUAUCAUCAGCUCAAAAGGAGGUCUUGUGAAGGGUGAAUCUGGCCCUCUAUUGCGCCGAAGUCUUUCCGAUUGUUCUCUUGUAUGGAUGCCCAAGUUGCAUACGGUUUCCACCAUUUACGCAAUGAAAGACCUUACCUUGCACAAGGUCCUAUUUUAAAUAAGCAGGACUUUUGUAAUCAGGCAACACUAGGGCAGAAUGUGUAGAAAGAAACAUGGAAGGGUUGGAAUAAGGGUUGGAAAAGAAGAUAAAAAAACAGAAAAACCAUGAAAAAAAAGAGGAAGCAGAUAUGUGAAAAAAAGAGAAAAAAAAGAAAUAUUGGUGGAAGCAGGUAGGUGGAAAAAAUGAAAAAAAGCAGAGAGCAAAAUCAAAGAAAGAGACGGGGAGCUUCGUGGUGGAGUAGUGGGAGGGGAAGACGGCGAUUUGGCGAGGCUUUGACUUAAAGCACUUCUGGAAGAGAAAUAAAGACCGGAAAAUGAGAAUGAAAACUUGACUAGGGAAAACCAGCUACCAGAAUCAGCUAGUGGAGUACCCUCGCUUAACAGAUCCGAAAUCCAAUGAAAAUAAGAGUGUGUAUGCUGAACGCUGCAAAGGAACUAGAUGGAUAAUGUCAGCUUGCUAUCCAAUUUUUUCUUAUUCAUGAAAUUAAGAGGUACAAGGACUAUUGGAGUGAUCAGCAAUGUAUAUCAAUCAUCAGUAUGAAUCUAACUGGAAAAAGUCUAGCAAUCAAGAUAACAAGUAUAGUUCUGUCUAAGACUGUCCCUGAAAGACCAUAGUGCCGUUGUUUUGAAGGCUGAUAGUGCUACUGAUAAGGCAGAAUGGAUAAAUACACUAAGAAAUAUCAUCAGUUCAAAAGGAGGACAAGAGAAGGGUGAAUCUAGCCCUCCAUUGCGCCAAAGUCUUUCCAUGAUUUUCCUAGGUAUGGAUGCCCAAGUUGCAUACGGUUUCCACCAUUUACGCAAUGAAAGACCUUACCUUGCACAAGGUCCCAUUUCAAAUAAGUACUUUUGUAAUCAGGCAACACUAGGGCAUAAUGUGUAGAAAGAAACAUGGAAGGGUUGGAAAAGAAGAAAAAAAACAGAAAAACCAAGAAAAAAAAGAGGAAGCAGAUAUGUGAAAAAAAAAGAAAAAAAAAAAUGGUGGAAGCAUAUAGGUGGAAAAAAAGCAAAAAAAACAGAGAGCAAAAUCAAAGAAAGAGACGGGGAGCUUCGUGGUGGAGUAGUGGGAGGGGAAGACGGCGAUUUGGCGAGGCUUCGACUUAAAGCACUUCUGGAAGACAAAUCAAGACCGGAAAAUGAGAAUGAAAACUUGACUAGGGAAAACCAGCUACCAGAAUCAGCUAGUGGAGUACCCUCGCUUAACAGAUCCGAAAUCCAAUGAAAAUAAGAGUGUGUAUGCUGAACGCUGCAAAGGAACUAGAGGGAUAAUGUCAGCUUGCUAUCCAAUUUUUUUCUUAUUCAUGAAAUUAAGAGGUACAAGGACUAUUAGAGUGAUCAGCAAAGUAUAUCAAUCAUCAAUAUGAAUCUAACUGGAAAAAGUCUAGUAAUCAAGAUAACAAGUAUAGUUCUGUCUAAGACUGUCCCUGAAAGACCAUAGUGCCAUUGUUUUGAAGACUGAAAGUGCUUCUGACAAGGCAGAAUGGAUAAAUACAGUAAGAAAUAUCAUCAGCUCAAAAGGAGGUCUUAGUGAAGGGUGAAUCUGGCCCUCUAUUGCGCCGAAGUCUUUCCGAUUGUUCUCUUACAAUCUGACAAGAUACUAUAUGUGAUGAAGGUACGGAUGCCCAAGUUGCAUACGGUUUCCACCAUUUACGCAAUGAAAGACCUUACCUUGCACAAGGUCCCAUUUCAAAUAAGGACUUUUGUAAUCAGGCAACACUAGGGCAGAAUGUGUAGAAAGAAACAUGGAAGGGUUGGAAUAAGGGUUGGAAAAGAAGAAAAAAAAACAGAAAAACCACGAAAAAAAAGAGGAAGCUCAUAUGUGAAAAAAAAAGAAAAAAAAGAAAAAUUGGUGGAAGCAGAUAGGUGGAAAAAAAAGAAAAAAAACAGAGAGCAAAAUCAAAGAAAGAGACGGGGAGCUUCGUGGUGGAGUAGUGGGAGGGGAAGACGGCGAUUUGGCGAGGCUUCGACUAAAAGCACUUCUGGAAGACAAAACAAGGCCGGAAAAUGAGAAGUAAAACUUGACUAGGGAAAACCAGCUACCAGAAUUAGCUAGUGGAGUACCCUCGCUUAACAGAUCCGAAAUCCAAUGAAAAUAAGAGUGUGUAUGUUGAACGCUGCAAAGGAACUAGAUGGAUCAUGUCAGCUUGCUAUCCAAUUUUUUUCUUAUUCAUGAAAUUAAGAGGUACAAGGACUAUUGGAGUGAUCAGCAAUGUAUAUCAAUCAUCAGUAUGAAUCUAACUGGAAAAAGUCUAGUAAUCAAGAUAACAAGUAUAGUUCUGUCUAAGACUGUCCCUGAAAGACCAUAGUGCCGUUGUUUUGAAGGCUGAAAGUGCUACUGACAAAGCAGAAUGGAUAAAUACAGUAAGAAAUAUCAUCAGCUCAAAAGGAGGUCUUGUGAAGGGUGAAUCUGGCCCUCUAUUGCGCCGAAGUCUUUCCGAUUGUUCUCUUACAAUCUGACAAGUUACUAUAUGUGAUGAAGGUACGGAUGCCCAAGUUGCAUACGGUUUCCACCAUUUAUGCAAUGAAAGACCUUACCUUGCACAAGGUCCCAUUUCAAAUAAGCAGGACUUUUGUAAUCAGGCAACACUAGGGCAGAAUGUGUAGAAAGAAACAUGGAAGGGUUGGAAUAAGGGUUGGAAAAGAAGGAAAAAAACAGAAAAACCAAGAAAAAAAAGAGGAAGCAGAUAUGUGAAAAAAAAAGAAAAAAAAAGAAAAAUUGGUGGAAGCAGAUAGGUGGAAAAAAAAAACAGAGAGCAAAAUCAAAGAAAGGGACGGGGAGCUUCGUGGUGGAGUAGUGGGAGGGGAAGACGGCGAUUUGGCGAGGCUUUGACUUAAUGCACUUCUGGAAGACAAAUCAAGACCGGAAAAUGAGAAUGGAAACAUGACUAGGGAAAACCAGCUACCAGAAUCAGCUAGUGGAGUACCCUCGCUUAACAGAUCCGAAAUCCAAUGAAAAUAAGAGUGUGUAUGCUGAACGCUGCAAAGGAACUAGAUGGAUAAUGUCAGCUUGCUAUCCAAUUUUUUUCUUAUUCAUGAAAUUAAGAGGUACAAGGACUAUUGGAGUGAUCAGCAAAGUAUAUCAAUCAUCAGUAUGAAUCUAACUGGAAAAAGUCUAGUAAUCAAGAUAACAAGUAUAGUUCUGUCUAAGACUGUCCCUGAAAGACCAUAGUGCGGUUGUUUUGAAGGCUGAAAGUGCUACUGACAAGGCAGAAUGGAUAAAUACAAUAAGAAAUAUCAUCAGCUCAAAAGGAGGUCAAGUGAAGGGUGAAUCUGGCCCUCCAUUGCGCCGAAGUCUUUCCGAUUGUUCUCUUACAAUCUGACAAGAUACUAUAUGUGAUGAAGGUGUGGAUGCCGAAGUUGCAUACGGUUUCCACCAUUUAUGCAAUGAAAGACCUUACCUUACACAAGGUCCCAUUUCAAAUAAGGACUUUUGUAAUCAGGCAACACUAGGGCAGAAUGUGUAGAAAGAAACAUGGAAGGGUUGGAAUAAGGGUUGGAAAAGAAGAAAAAAAAUAGAAAAACAAGGAAAAAAAAGAGGAAGCAGAUAUGUGAAAAAAAAGAAAAAAAAGAAAAAUUGGUGGAAGCAAAUAGGUGGAAAAAAAGAAAAAAAAUAGAGAGCAAAAUCAAAGAAAGAGACGGGGAGCUUCGUGGUGGAGUAGUGGGAGGGGAAGAUGGCGAUUUGGUGAGGCUUUGACUUAAAGCACUUCUGGAAGACAAAUCAAGACCGGAAAAUGAGAAUGAAAACUUGACUAGGGAAAACCAGCUACCAGAAUCAGCUAGUGGAGUACCCUCGCUUAACAGAUCCGAAAUCCAAUGAAAAUAAGAGUGUGUAUGUUGAACGCUGCAAAGGAACUAGAUGGAUAAUGUCAGCUUGCUAUCCAAUUUUUUUCUUAUUCAUGAAAUUAAGAGGUACAAGGACUAUUGGAGUGAUCAGCAAUGUAUAUCAAUCAUCAGUAUGAAUCUAACUGGAAAAAGUCUAGUAAUCAAGAUAACAAGUAUAGUUCUGUCUAAGACUGUCCCUGACAGACCAUAGUGCCAUUGUUUUGAAGGCUGAAAGUGCUACUGACAAAGCAGAAUGGAUAAAUACAGUAAGAAAUAUCAUCAGCUCAAAAGGAGGUCUUGUGAAGGGUGAAUCUGGCCCUCUAUUGCGCCGAAGUCUUUCCGAUUGUUCUCUUGUACGGAUGCCCAAGUUGCAUACGGUUUCCACCAUUUAUGCAAUGAAAGACCUUACCUUGCACAAGGUCUCAUUUCAAAUAAGGACUUUUGUAAUCAGGCAACACUAGGGCAGAAUGUGUAGAAAGAAACAUGGAAGGGUUGGAAUAAGGGUUGGAAAAGAAGGAAAAAAAACAGAAAUACCAAGAAAAAAAAGAGGAAGCAGAUAUGUGAAAAAAAAGAAAAAAAAGAGGAAUUGGUGGAAGCAGAUAGGUGGAAAAAAAAAACAGAGAGCAAAAUCAAAGAAAGGGACGGGGAGCUUCGUGGUGGAGUAGUGGGAGGGGAAGACGGCGAUUUGGCGAGGCUUUGACUUAAUGCACUUCUGGAAGACAAAUCAAGACCGGAAAAUGAGAAUGAAAACAUGACUAGGGAAAACCAGCUACCAGAAUCAGCUAGUGGAGUACCCUCGCUUAACAGAUCCGAAAUCCAAUGAAAAUAAGAGUGUGUAUGCUGAACGCUGCAAAGGAACUAGAUGGAUAAUGUCAGCUUGCUAUCCAAUUUUUUUCUUAUUCAUGAAAUUAAGAGGUGAAGAAAAGAGAAACAUAACGUUUUCUGCCAAAGUGUCAAAUUUUGUUACGUCUCUGACCUAUAUUUAUUUUUUAAAUCGGUACAAGGACUAUUGGAGUGAUCAGCAAAGUAUAUCAAUCAUCAGUAUGAAUCUAACUGGAAAAAGUCUAGUAAUCAAGAUAACAAGUAUAGUUCUGUCUAAGACUGUCCCUGACAGACCAUAGUGCCGUUGUUUUGAAGGCUGAAAGUGCUACUGACAAAGCAGAAUGGAUAAAUACAGUAAGAAAUAUCAUCAGCUCAAAAGGAGGUCUUGUGAAGGGUGAAUCUGGCCCUCUAUUGCGCCGAAGUCUUUCCGAUUGUUCUCUUGUACGGAUGCCCAAGUUGCAUACGGUUUCCACCAUUUACGCAAUGAAAGACCUUACCUUGCACAAGGUCCCAUUUCAAAUAAGGACUUUUGUAAUCAGGCAACACUAGGGCAGAAUGUGUAGAAAGAAACAUGGAAGGGUUGGAAUAAGGGUUGGAAAAAAAAAAGAAAAACAAGGAAAAAAAAGAGGAAGCAGAUAUGUGAAAAAAAAGAAAAAAAAAUUGGUGGAAGCAGAUAGGUGAAAAAAAAGAAAAAAAAUAGAGAGCAAAAUCAAAGAAAGAGACGGGGAGCUUCGUGGUGGAGUAGUGGGAGGGGAAGAUGGCGAUUUGGUGAGGCUUUGACUUAAAGCACUUCUGGAAGACAAAUCAAGACCGGAAAAUGAGAAUGAAAACUUGACUAGGGAAAACCAGCUACCAGAAUCAGCUAGUGAAGUACCCUCGCUUAACAGAUCCGAAAUCCAAUGAAAAUAAGAGUGUGUAUGCUGAACGCUGCAAAGGAACUAGAUGGAUAAUGUCAGCUUGCUAUCCAAUUUUUUUCUUAUUCAUGAAAUUAAGAGGACUAUUGGAGUGAUCUGCAAAGUAUAUCAAUCAUCAGUAUGAAUCUAACUGGAAAAAGCCUAGUAAUCAAGAUAACAAGUAUAGUUCUGUCUAAGACUGUCCCUGAAAGACCAUAGUGCCGUUGUUUUGAAGGCUGAAAGUGCUACUGACAAGGCAGAAUGGAUAAAUACAGUAAGAAAUAUCAUCAGCUCAAAAGGAGGUCAAGUGAAGGGUGAAUCUGGCCCUCCAUUGCGCCGAAGUCUUUCCGAUUGUUCUCUUACAAUCUGACAAGAUACUAUAUGUGAUGAAGGUACGUAUGCCCAAGUUGCAUACGGUUUCCACCAUUUACGCAAUGAAAGACCUUACCUUACACAAGGUCCCAUUUCAAAUAAGUAGGACUUUUGUAAUCAGGCAACACUAGGGCAGAAUGUGUAGAAAGAAACAUGGAAGGGUUUGAAAAGAAGAAAAAAAAAAAGAAAAACAAGGAAAAAAAAGAGGAAGCAGAUAUGUGAAAAAAAAGAAAAAAAAAUUGGUGGAAGCAGAUAGGUGAAAAAAAAGAAAAAAAAUAGAGAGCAAAAUCAAAGAAAGAGACGGGGAGCUUCGUGGUGGAGUAGUGGGAGGGGAAGAUGGCGAUUUGGUGAGGCUUUGACUUAAAGCACUUCUGGAAGACAAAUCAAGACCGGAAACUGAGAAUGAAAACUUGACUAGGGAAAACCAGCUACCAGAAUCAGCUAGUGAAGUACCCUCGCUUAACAGAUCCGAAAUCCAAUGAAAAUAAGAGUGUGUAUGUUGAACGCUGCAAAGGAACUAGAUGGAUAAUGUCAGCUUGCUAUCCAAUUUUUUUCUUAUUCAUGAAAUUAAGAGGUACAAGGACUAUUGGAGUGAUCAGCAAUGUAUAUCAAUCAUCAGUAUGAAUCUAACUGGAAAAAGUCUAGUAUUCAAGAUAACAAGUAUAGUUCUGUCUAAGACUGUCCCUGAAAGACCAUAGUGCCGUUGUUUUGAAGGCUGAUAGUGCUACUGAUAACGCAAAAUGGAUAAAUACACUAAGAAAUAUCAUCAGUUCAAAAGGAGGACAAGAGAAGGGUGAAUCUAGCCCUCCAUUGCGCCAAAGUCUUUCCAUGGUUUUCUUAGGUAUGGAUGCCCAAGUUGCAUACGGUUUCCACCAUUUACGCAAUGAAAGACCUUACCUUGCACAAGGUCCCAUUUCAAAUAAGGACUUUUGUAAUCAGGCAACACUAGGGCAUAAUGUGUAGAAAGAAACAUGGAAGGGUUGGAAUAAGGGUUGGAAAAGAAGAAAAAAAAACAAAAAAACAAGGAAUAAAAAAGAGGAAGCAGAUAUGUGGAAAAAAAGAGGAAAAUCAGUGGAACAAAUGUAGAAAUAAAACAGAAAAAGAAGACAAAAAAAGAAGGUGAUAUGUGAAAAAAAUGAAAAAUUGGUGGAACAGAUCUAGAAAAAGAAAAAAUAUAGAGAGCUGAAUCAAAGAAAGAGACGGGGAGCUUCGUGAUGGAGUAGUGGGAGGGGAAGACGACGAAUUGGCGAGGCUUCAACUCGAAGCACUUUUGGAAGAGAAAUCAAGAUCGGAAAAAUGAGAAUGCAAACUUUACUAGGGAAAACCAGCUAGGGGAGUACCCUCACUUAACAGAUCCGAAAUCGCUUGAAAAUAAGGCUGCCAAAUAUUCUUUUAGGGUUGUCUCAUGAAGCUUCUUCCCGGUACCUACAGCCCGGAGUGCUGUUGUUUUGCAGGAUUUCUUAUGAAGCACUAACCUUUCUCCCUGCAUGCAAGAUUUUUAUUAAAGAGGAGAUAUGAAAACUAACGGCUGAAGCUGCGGAUGGUUCGUGUUGAAUGGAUAAACAGCACGAGGAUUUGGCGAGGCUUCAACUUGAAGCACUUCUAGAAGAGAAAUAAAGACCAGAAAAUGAGAAUGCUAACUUGACUAGGGAUAACCAGCUAUCAGAAUCAGCUAGUGGAGUACCCUCGCUUAACAUAUCUGAAAUUGCAUGAAAAUAAGGCUGCCAAAAGGAGGUCAAGUGAAGGGUGAAUCCUAGCGUAGUGAAGGGAUUUUUGUUAAAGAGGAGUACGAAAACUAAUGGCUGGAGCUGCGGAUGGUUCAUGUUGAAUGGAUAAACAGUUCAAGUGAG